rnacentral:misc_RNA from 1 species
GAUGAAGAACGUAGCGAAAUGCGAUAAGUAAUGCGAAUUGCAGAAUUCCAGUGAGUCAUCGAAUCUUUGAACGCACAUUGCGCCCUUUGGUAUUCCGAAGGGCAUGCCUGUUCGAGCGUCAUUAUCACCCCUCAAGCCCUCGGCUUGGUGUUGGACGGUUUGGUGGAGGCCCCCUCGGGGGCUCCUGCCCCUCCCAAAGACAAUGACGGCGGCCUCGUUGGACCCCCGGUACACUGAGUUCUUCACGGGACACGUAUCGGACACAUGGGUUUACGGGACACGGUCUGCCUCCCCUCAGGGAGAAUCUUUCUAAGGUUGACCUCGGAUCAGGUAGGGAUACCCGCUGAACUUAAGCAUAUCAAUAAAGCGGAGGA